rnacentral:rRNA from 1 species
AGGGCGUAUAGUGAAUGCCUUGGUUCUUGAUGGCGACGAAAGACGUGAACUGCCUGCGAUAAGCUUCGGUGAGGUGGCAAUUAACCUGUGACCCGGAGAUCUCUGAAUGGGGAAACCCAUCCGUAUUUAAAUGACGGAUAUCCAUUGUAUGAUGGAAGCAAACCUAGGGAAGUGAAACAUCUCAGUACCUAGAGGAAAAGAAAACAAAUGUUAUUUCCUGAGUAGCGGCGAGCGAAACGGAAUCUAGCCCAAACCCGAAUAAGCUCGCUGUAGUUAAUAUAGCAAUAUAUUGAAUAUAGCGAGCUGAAUCGGGGGUUGUAGGACAUUGAAGUCGUAAAGACAAAAAGUUACAAAAUCUUUGAAUAGGUGAAACAUCUGGAAAGGUGUGGCAUAGAGGGUGACAUCCCCGUAACCGAAAUUUGAAGAUCUUUUACAAUGUUCCUGAGUACUUCGAGACACGAAUAGCUCGGAGGAAUCUGCCGGAACUAACCGGUAAGGCUAAAUACAUCAAGAGACCGAUAGUGAACUAGUACCGUGAGGGAAAGGUGAAAAGAACCCCUGUGAGGGGAGUGAAAUAGAUCUGAAACCAUACGCCUACAAGGAGUCGGAGCGGUUGUUUACAACCGUCACGGCGUGCCUAUUGAAGAAUGAGCCAACGAGUGUAUGCAUGCGGCAGGCUAAGUGCUAUAAAAGCAUGGAGCCAUAGGGAAACCGAGUCUGAAUAGGGCGAAAUUAAUGUCGUACGCAUACGACCCGAAGCCAGGUGAGCUUACCAUGGGCAGGGUGAACCCCGUAGAAAUAUGGGGGGAGGCCCGAACCAGUUGGUCGUACGAUUCCUUUGGAUGACCUGUGGUAAGGAGUGAAAAGCUAAUCGAACCUGGUAAUAGCUGGUUCUCUCCGAAAUAUAUUUUGGUAUAGCGUUAUGUGUUCCCUCUGGGGGUAGAGCACUGGCUGGUUUGGACAGGGUGAAAGCUCGCCAAACCUAUCAACCUCCGAAUACCAGAUGGUAAAUAGCAUAGCAGUCAGACAGUGGGGGCGAAGCUCCACGAGUCGAAAGGGAAACAGCCCUGGAUCUCAAGUUAAGGUCCCUAAAUCUACAUUAAGUGCACUUAAGGAGGUGAAAUUUCUCCGACAAUGAGGAGGUUGGCUUAGAAGCAGCCAUCCUUUAAAGAAAGCGUAACAGCUCACUCAUCUAGAGAAUUCGCGCCGCAAAUAAUCGGGGCUAAAAUGUAGUACCGAAGCUGAGGGUUUGUGCAUUUCAUAGAGAAAGUAAAUCUAUGGCACAUGGUCAGGAUAAUGAAAAACGUCUUAGUGCUAGCUACCCUUUUGAAGGUAGCGAUGCAGCAUCCGUUUUUCUUGUCCCGACCUCCAUAGAAUUUCUCUGGUAACUUUUUAUAAAAAAUAAAGUUGCUUUUUCCAUGAAAUGCAUAAGCGGUAGGAGAGUAUUGUACUCUGCGAUGAAGCGGAAGGCGUGAGCCACCGUGGAGCGUGUACAAGUAAGAAUGUUGGCACAAGUAACCACAAGACGGGUGAAAUCCCUGUCCGCCGAAAGACUAAGGUUUCCGCUGCUAUGUCAAUCAACAGCGGGUUAGUCGGGCCUAAGGAGAUGGCGAUAGCCGCAUCCGAUGGACACAUGGUUAAUAUUCCAUGACUUUAUUGCAAGCGAUGGAGGGACGGAGAACAUAAUUCCCCACGCAUUAUUGGAUUUGACGCUCGUACUGGUAGAGAGGAUAUUUAGGAAAAUCCGGAUAUCACAUACUCUCGAAAGAGCGACGACUGGAGCCCUCGGGUUCCAGAAGGGGGAAGAAUAGUCUUCCAAGAAAAUCUUCUAGCAUUCAAUUGCAAUGAAUCCGUACCGUAAACCGACACAGGUAGUCAGGUCGAGUAGACCAAGGCGAACGAGUGAGUAAUCCUCAAGGAACUCGGCAAAAAAGCAGCCGUAACUUUGGAAUAAGGCUUGCCCAUGUUUAACUACAUGGGCCGCAGCGAAAGUAUCUCUGGCGACUGUUUAUCAAAAACACAGCUCCCUGCGAAAUCGUAAGAUGAUGUAUAGGGGGUGACACCUGACCAAUGCCAGAAGGUUAAAUAUCGGUGGUGUACAACAUCCAGCGCGUGAUCAAUUGAUCGUGCAUUGAAUGUUGUAUGCUGGCUGAUAUAAGCCCUGGUGAAUGUCGGCCGUAACUAUAACGGUCCUAAGGUAGCGAAAUACCUUGUCGGGUAAAUUCCGACGCGCACGAAUGGUGUAACGACUGGAGAACUGUCUCGAGGAUUAGCUCGGUGAAAAUACAAUACCGGUGAAGAUGCCGGUUACCUGCAGUUAGACGAAAAGACCCCGGGAGCUUUACUAUAGCUUCACAUUGGGCAUAUUGGAAUUGUGCGUAGCAUAGGUGGGAGAGGUUAUGCGUAUGGUCUUGGCUAUACGAUACUCGUCAGUGAAAUACCACUCUCAAUUUUGAUAUGUCCUAACCUGGACGAAAAAACGUUCAGAGACAGUGUGUGGUGGGUAGUUUGUUUGGGGCGAAUCCCUCCUAAAUUGUAACGGAGGGGCCUAUAAAGGUCAGCUAGGCGUGAAUGGAAACCAUGCCGAUAGUGUAAUGGCACAAGCUGGCUUGACUGCAAGACGUACAUGUCGAGCAGGUGCGAAAGCAGAGCAUAGUGAACCGACCUAACGCUUUAGAUGCGUGGGAAGAUCAACGGAUAAAAGCUACCCCGGGGAUAACAGGCUAGUAUCGCCCGAGAGUUCAUAUCGACGGCGGUGUUCGGCACCUCGAUGUCGGCUCAUCUUAUCCUGGGGCUGGAGAAGGUCCCAAGGGUUUGGCUGUUCGCCAAUUAAAAAGAUACGCGAGCUGGGUUCAGACCGUUUAGGAGUUGUCAUUAUUGUAUUUAUAUAAUCUUAAUGACUCCUAUACAGUCUGAAUCAAGUUCUGAAAUACGACACAAUCAGGUUUUUUCGUUUUAAUAAAUAAUAAAAAUAGAUAGUACCAAUCAUUGCGGCGGCAUUAUAUGGCGACAUAUAUUGCAUAUUCAACUGAUAUCGGAAAAGUCCCAAUCAUUUUAUGAUGGAUAAUUCCGAGGGAAGGUUUGCAAAAACCACCCGUAGAGACUGAACGUUGAAACACUCACGAAG